rnacentral:snRNA from 1 species
GUGCUGGCAUUAGCAGCACAUAUACUAGAAUUAAAAUGAUACAGAGAAUAUUAGCGCAGCCCCUGCAAGGAUGACACCCAAAUCCAUAAAGUGCUCCAUAUUUUA